GCUGGGCUUGGCGGUGCAGGCCUGUAAUCCCAGCCACUGGGGAGGCUGGGGCAGGAGGACUGGAAGUUCACAGAUAGCCUCAGCAACUUAGCAAGACCCUGUCUCAA
rnacentral:sRNA from 1 species